UGCCAGACUCCUACGGGAGGCAGCAGUGAGGAAUAUUGGUCAAUGGGCGGGAGCCUGAACCAGCCAAGCCGCGUGAGCGAUGAAGUAUUUCGGUAUGUAAAGCUCUAUCAGCAGGGAAGAAAAUGACGGUACCUGACUAAGAAGCCCCGGCUAACUACGUGCCAGCAGCCGCGGUAAUACGUAGGGGGCAAGCGUUAUCCGGAUUUACUGGGUGUAAAGGGAGCGUAGACGGCUGUGCAAGCCAGAUGUGAAAGCCCGGGGCUCAACCCCGGGACUGCAUUUGGAACUGUGUGGCUGGAGUGUCGGAGAGGCAGGCGGAAUUCCUAGUGUAGCGGUGAAAUGCGUAGAUAUUAGGAGGAACACCAGUGGCGAAGGCGGCCUGCUGGACGAUGACUGACGUUGAGGCUCGAAAGCGUGGGGAGCAAACAGGAUUAGAUACCCGUGUA
rnacentral:rRNA from 1 species